AUGCGCGUUUGCGUUCUCUGUUUCUUCGACGACAUCUUGAUUUUCAGUGCCACGUUGGAGGAACACAAAAGCCAUGUAAAGCAAGUACUGGAACUUCUCCGAAGGGACAACUGGAAAGUGAAACGCAGCAAGUGUGCUUUCGGGCAAAGCAAGAUCUCGUACUUGGGUCACGUUAUCAGCGUGCAAGGGGUUGCAACAGAUCCAACAAAGAUGGCUGCGGUGGCAAAUUGGUCUUCACCUCAAAAUGUCAAGGAAGUUCGGAGUUUCUUGGGACUCGCAGGCUACUAUCGUCGUUUCGUGCACAACUUUGGAGUGAUCGCCCGACCCCUUUUUAACUUGUUGAAGAAGGGCGUCCCAUUCCUUUGGACGUCCAUUGCAGAAACUGCAUUUCAAGUCUUAAAGCAGCAGCUCAUCUCAGUGCCAGUUCUGGCAUUGCCCAAUUUUGCCCAACCAUUUACAGUGGAGACAGACACGUGCGACCAUGGCAUUGGGGCAAUUCUGUAG
rnacentral:rRNA from 1 species